rnacentral:rRNA from 1 species
UACGGAGGGUGCGAGCGUUAAUCGGAAUUACUGGGCGUAAAGCGUGCGCAGGCGGUGAUGUAAGACAGGUGUGAAAUCCCCGGGCUUAACCUGGGAACUGCAUUUGUGACUGCAUCGCUGGAGUGCGGCAGAGGGGAUGGAAUUCCGCGUGUAGCAGUGAAAUGCGUAGAUAUGCGGAGGAACACCGAUGGCGAAGGCAAUCCCCUGGGCCUGCACUGACGCUCAU